CGUGCGCAGGCGGUUAUAUAAGACAGAUGUGAAAUACCCCGGGCCUCAACCUGGGAACUGCAUUUGUGACUGUAUAGCUGGAGUGCGGCAGAGGGGGAUGGAAUUCCGCGUGUAGCAGUGAAAUGCGUAGAUAUGCGGAGGAACACCGAUGGCGAAGGCAAUCCCCUGGGCCUGCACUGACGCUCAUGCACGAAAGCGUGGGGAGCAAACAGGAUUAGAAAUACCCUGGU
rnacentral:rRNA from 1 species